AGCUUUGCGCAUGGGCAGUAUCGUAGCCAAUAGAGGUUUAUCUGAGGCGUGAUUAUUGCUAGUUGAAAACUUUUCCUAAAAUAUUAUAUGUUGUUUACCUUACAGUAUUCCAUUCAUAUUCUUAUAAUAAAGAACAUUUA